CUACGGGGCGCUGCAGUGAGGAAUAUUGCACGAUGGGGGAAACCCUGAUGCAGCAACGCCGCGUGGAGGAUGACGCAUUUCGGUGUGUAAACUCCUUUUAUAUGUCAAGAAAAUGACGGUAGCAUAUGAAUAAGCACCGGCUAACUCCGUGCCAGCAGCCGCGGUAAUACGGAGGGUGCAAGCGUUACUCGGAAUCACUGGGCGUAAAGGACGCGUAGGCUGGUUGGUAAGUCAGGUGUGAAAUCCUACAGCUUAACUGUAGAACUGCACUUGAAACUACCAACCUAGAGUAUGGGAGGGGGAGAUGGAAUUAGUGGUGUAGGGGUAAAAUCCGUAGAUAUCACUAGGAAUACCGAAAGCGAAGGCGAUCUCCUGGAACAUAACUGACGCUAAGGCGUGAAAGCGUGGGGAGCAAACAGGAUUAGAUACCCUUGUAGUC
rnacentral:rRNA from 1 species